AUUGAACGCUGGCGGCAUGCUUUACACAUGCAAGUCGAACGGUAACAGGCCGCAAGGUGCUGACGAGUGGCGAACGGGUGAGUAAUGCAUCGGAACGUGCCCAGUCGUGGGGGAUAACGCAGCGAAAGCUGCGCUAAUACCGCAUACGAUCUGUGGAUGAAAGCGGGGGACCGAGAGGCCUCGCGCGAUUGGAGCGGCCGAUGUCAGAUUAGGUAGUUGGUGGGGUAAAGGCCCACCAGCCAACGAUCUGUAGCUGGUCUGAGAGGACGACCAGCCACACUGGGACUGAGACACGGCCCAGACUCCUACGGGAGGCAGCAGUGGGGAAUUUUGGACAAUGGGCGCAAGCCUGAUCCAGCAAUGCCGCGUGCAGGAGGAAGGCCUUCGGGUUGUAAACUGCUUUUGUACGGAACGAAACGGCUCUGGUUAAUACCUGGGGCUAAUGACGGUACCGUAAGAAUAAGCACCGGCUAACUACGUGCCAGCCGCCGCAGUAAUAC
rnacentral:rRNA from 1 species